UACAGAGGGGGCAAGCGUUGUUCGGAAUUACUGGGCGUAAAGGGCGCGUAGGCGGCCUUCUAAGUCAGACGUGAAAUCCCUCGGCUCAACCGGGGAACUGCGUCUGAGACUGGAAGGCUUGAAUCCGGGAGAGGGAUGUGGAAUUCCCGGUGUAGUGGUGAAAUGCGUAGAGAUCGGGAGGAACACCUGUGGCGAAGGCGGCCCCCUGGCCGGCCCUGACGCUGAGACGCGAAGGCGUGGGGAGCGAACGGG
rnacentral:rRNA from 1 species